AGGUCAAGCUACAAAGGGCGCAUGGCGAAUGCCUUGGCACUAGGAGCCGAAGAAGGACGCGUUAAGCUGCGAUAAGCUUUGGGUAGGCGCAAAUAGCCUGUGAUCCAAAGAUUUCCGAAUGGGGGAACCCACAUAGUAACAACUAUGUACUGCAUACUGAAUAAAUAGGUAUGYAGAGGUAGACCCGGGGAACUGAAACAUC
rnacentral:rRNA from 1 species